ACCUUGAAGAGAUAUCUGCACUCCCAUGUUCAUUGCAUUAUUCACAAUAGCCAAGAUAUGGAAACUGCCUACAUAUCUAUUAACAGAUGAAAUGAAUAAAGAAAAUGUGCUAUGUAUAUAUAUACAUAAUGGAAUAUUAUUCAGCCUUUAAAAAAUGAAAUUCUACCUUUUGGAAAAACACGGAUGGACUUGGAGAACAUGAUGCUAAGUGAAACAAGCCAGGAACAGAAAGGUAAAUACUGUAUGAUCUUAUAUGAGGAAUCUAAAAUAUCAGACUCAUAAAAGUGGAGAGUGUGAUGCUGGUUACCAGGAUUGGGAGAGGACAAAGCAUGAAGAUAUUGAUGAAAGGGCACAAAGUUUUAGUUAUGCAAGAUGAAUAAAGUCUGGAGAUCUAAUGUACAGCAAUCUGACUAUAGUUAAGAAUACUGCAAUGUAUACUUGAAAUUUACUAAGAGUGUAGAUCUUAAGUUCUAAGUUUUUGUGUUCUCACCACAGAAAGAAUGAAUGAAAGAAAGAAAGAAAGAAAGAAAGAAAAAAGGAAAAUGAUAACCAUGUGAGGUCUUCACCCCCAGUUCUCACCAUCCGGAGUCAUUGCAAAUUCACCACGUGCAGACCGCCCUCUUGGAAAGGAUAUUUUGUGCCUGACUCUGUCUGUGAAGUGUUCUGGAUUACAACGCCUUCUUAUCAGUUUUAUCAAUUAGAAAAACAUGCCUCACCUUUAAUUGUUUUGGAUCAUAUUCAAUUUUUCUUUUUAAAUAAGGAGGAGAGCAUUUCAUUAACUGGCCCAAAGCCAUAGCAAAUGGCUUUCCUGGGAUUUGAAACCACAUAUUUGGAAUCUAGAGUCCAAGCUCUUCUCAUUGCCUUAUAAAGCUUCUCUCUGUUCGGGGCCGUUAGAACAUUGCACACAUGCAGCCUGGAUCUGAAAACUGAAGUGUGGCUGGAGGUGGAGAAAAGCAAAAUCAGAGGUGGCUGAGAGAGAAGACUAUUGCUGAUUUACCCCCUUUCCAUACAACCCCCUGGGAUUUUAUUUGAGCGCUCUGCCUGACCUAAAGUAAGACACUGCACUGCCAGUGAAGGAGUGGUUACAAGUUGUUUCUUUAAAGGAUGAGUUUUCUCUGCUUGCUGCUCAUGAGGGCAUUAUCUCUAUGGAGACCCACACUUGGAACCUGGAGGUUAUGAAGAUAAGUUCUAGAGACUGGGACGUUUAAGAUCAAGGUGCUGGCAGAUUGGGUGUCUGGGUGUCUAGUAAAAAUCUGCUUCCUGCUUCAUAGACAGCUAUCUUCUCGGGGGAGAUUAGGGCACAGACACAUAAGAAUGACCAGGUGAAGACAGGGAGAAGACACAUGUCUACAAGCCAUGGAGAGAAGUUUCAAAAGAAACUAGCCCUGCUAACACCCUGAUCUUGGAUGUUUAGUCUCCAAAAUGGUGAGCAAAGUGACUAAAGUCAUGAAGUGUUUGGAUCCAGUGAAGCAGAGGAAUGAAGAUGAAAACACCAUGAAAAAUGAAGUUACACGCAAUGCUACCCAGAGACAAGACAAUUGCAGACAAUUUUCAAGGCGGGCAUUUCAACCUUUGGAGAAAUCCAGAGGCCCUAUUUUUUCAAUCAGAAAAUAAAAUGGGAAACUUCCGAACUCUUUGUGAAGUCACAGCUUGAGAUUUAUGUUUAACUCAUGUUCCAUUAAAGAACAACUUCUUAAGGAAUUGGGAUCCUACACAUACAGACUUUCCUGAAGAAUUUUGUUCUUGUGAUAAAGGUUAUUGUCCUGAACUGAGGCAUGACUUGUGGAGCAAUGAGAAGGAAGGAGACAGGCACCUAACCCGCCAGAUCAAGGAAGUGGACCUUUGACAUCAAAGGAAGCUGAAUUGUCAUGGCCUGAUAUUCUCGACCUUAUUCUGGAGUAGGGCUUUUGGGCUUGAUAUUUGAAAGUAAGGGAUAAGAUUUUUAUUGAUCUAGUUAUUGGCUUGAAACAAUAUUCUCUUGGCUGUCCCAACAUUACAAGGUGGGUCAUAAGAAGAAUCAGCUCCCCACAACUCCCCUUUCAGUAAAGAAUGAACAGAAUGAAUCUCAAACAAUGAAAUAUCCAUCCUUGGGUCUUAAGCCAGCUGUGUCUCCAUGACACUGAAAUGCAAUUGUUGUAAACUAGGUUUGUGGGCUGAAUGAUUGUAGGAAGCAUAGCCUCCACAUGGAAAUUGGUUUGACCUGAAAGAAAUUUGGGUGAAGCAUACUGUGUCCAUUGGAAUGUUUAGGGACGACAGAUUUAUGAUACACCAGACAAAUCUGUUCUACCGUACUCUUCUCAAUGUGAUACUAUAUACAUCAUACACUAUAAAGCCUGACACAGGGCUCCUUGAUGAACCCAACAAAUUGGUAGGCAGCAGCUCCAUUUAGAGCAUCAGGGUGACAGUGUUUGCAUAUGCGAAUGUUUUUCAAUUCUGCUAUUAAACCAAACUCAUGAAAGUCAAAGUCACCAGUUCUCCCGGAUUUGAGGACAACUGAGUAGAAACAGAGCAGCCAUAGCCAUUAGAUGUUCAGGGUGUAGCAAACAUUGAUUUAAUUUUUACCUCGAGCUUCUGUUAGCUUUAACUUGGAGGCCUUUGUUUUUAGAGAUGAAUCUGAAAGUUUGCUAUCCCUCCCCUAUUCAUUUUAGGGUACUCUCUGUGUAGCCAGGUGCCUAUAAACAUUCCAUUUUCCUCUAAGUAAAUACAUUCUUGUAAACUUUGAAAGGAAGCAAAGAA